rnacentral:rRNA from 1 species
GACGAACGCUGGCGGCGUGCCUAACACAUGCAAGUCGAGCGAUGAAGUUCCUUCGGGAACGGAUUAGCGGCGGACGGGUGAGUAACACGUGGGCAACCUGCCUUAUAGAGGGGAAUAGCCUUCCGAAAGGAAGAUUAAUACCGCAUAAGAUUGUAGCUUCGCAUGAAGUAGCAAUUAAAGGAGCAAUCCGCUAUAAGAUGGGCCCGCGGCGCAUUAGCUAGUUGGUGAGGUAACGGCUCACCAAGGCGACGAUGCGUAGCCGACCUGAGAGGGUGAUCGGCCACAUUGGGACUGAGACACGGCCCAG